GAUGAACGCUGGCGGCGUGCCUAAUACAUGCAAGUCGAGCGAACAGAUGAGGAGCUUGCUCCUCUGACGUUAGCGGCGGACGGGUGAGUCACACGUGGAUAACCUACCUAUAAGACUGGGAUAACUUCGGGAAACCGGAGCUAAUACCGGAUAAUAUAUUGAACCGCAGGGUUCAAUAGUGAAAGACGGUUUUGCUGUCACUUAUAGAUGGAUCCGCGCCGCAUUAGCUAGUUGGUAAGGUAACGGCUUACCAAGGCAACGAUGCGUAGCCGACCUGAGAGGGUGAUCGGCCACACUGGAACUGAGACACGGUCCAGACUCCUACGGGAGGCAGCAGUAGGGAAUCUUCCGCAAUGGGCGAAAGCCUGACGGAGCAACGCCGCGUGAGUGAUGAAGGUCUUCGGAUCGUAAAACUCUGUUAUUAGGGAAGAACAAAUGUGUAAGUAACUAUGCACGUCUUGACGGUACCUAAUCAGAAAGCCACGGCUAACUACGUG
rnacentral:rRNA from 1 species